GAGGUGUUUGGUAACAAGCUUUUUUUAUUAGCUUAUAGCUUUUUUUCAGAUGCUAUUUCAAGUAAUGUUUGAGCUUAUAGCUUAUAGCUUUUUACACUUUAUUCCAUUUUUACCCUUUAAUUUAAUAACUACCCACUCUAAAAAAGAAACUACCCACUAUCAAUUAUGUCAUUUUAUAUUUAUUAACCACUUUAAAAGCUAAUUUUACCAAACACUUUAAUUUCA
rnacentral:lncRNA from 1 species